rnacentral:lncRNA from 1 species
UUUUUUAAUUUGUUGUAUGAAUAGUUUUGAUGAGUCAUCUACUUUAGUUGAAACAUAUUUUGUUAGUUAAAAAUGCUAGUUUUUGAAGAAUUAAAAAAGCAAAGUUCUUAUCAAACGUAAGGGUGAGUUUGAAAAUGCUACUACUUUCUUAAUCUGAGAGUUUUCUGUCCACUUUUGUUGAAAAAUAUUUCUUUUACACACCAUAGUUGAAUGUUGAACACAUUGUCAUUAUUUACAUUAGCAAAUGAGAUGUUUAUUGUGUAACUUAAAA